rnacentral:lncRNA from 1 species
CAAAAUAACAUCAGCCGUAAAAGUCAUAAAAUACUAAAGCGGCAUUGGGAACUCAGGACCCACCAUGGGGAAUGCAGAGGGCAGUGUCUUGGCAAUUGCGGCCUUGUUUUUCCCAGCUGGAAUGCUGAUGAAUUACCUGGGAGAAAACAUCUCAUCUGGCUGUUCUCAGAAAGUGAAAUGGGGUAAAACACGAAGAAUACAUAGCAGAAAGCAAAAGAGUGGUGACUGUAGGACUGAUCUGAUGUGUCUCCUCACCCCAACCCUCUCUCUAGCAACAACGAGUAGCAGAUGUUUAAGGAAAGAUGAGAAGCAGGGUAAAUGCAAAGUGAUCUUCUCCUUAUACAUCCUCCCAGCUUUCAGCACACAGUGCUUUUGGCAAAGUUGUGAGUGCCAGGGGAAAAUAUAUAUAUGAGAUCUUCUCUAAUUCUUCUUUCUGAUGCAUGAAUGUGGGAUUUUUGUCCCGAAUCCACAUGAGCUCAUUCAGCCACCAAGCAGGCUUUUCAGAAAGACGGCAUUAUCGCAAUAGCCAGAUCUUCUGUGCGGCUUGCCACAUGACUGCUGUGAGAGGGCAGCCUGCCAGGCUACCCAAAUCCAGCCAGGAAGCCCAUGAAACACCACUCAACAAGUCACGCUAACUCCAGCUUCCUAGUGGUUACAUUAAUGGUUGCGACAGUGACCACAGGCUGAACGGCGCGUGUUCCUCUGCGGUGUGAGAGCAAGGCCGCAGCCUCGUGUUGCUCCAUCCUCAGGGGCUGAAGGACCAGUAAUGGCUGCAGGGAUCGCUGCAGCUGGGUUAAGCAUCCCUAAUUUUUUUUUGUAGGCAAAGGAAAUGCCUGAAAAUGCCAGCGAGGCAGGUCAAGGAGAGGACGUGGCCAGCCCGAGGGGCAGCCCCAGGCUGUAACCCACACCGGAGACCGCCUGCUCGCUUUCCCGGCCUGAGCCGGCGGUAGGAGAGGCGGGGAAGACUUGGGGCAGCCUAAUCCAGCAUUAAAGUCCUGGCUAAUUCUCUCCUUCCUGAGGACACCUGAGACGCGGGGCUGGCGCGUGGGGGCCGGCGGCUGCUUCCCAGUUGGCUCCAACAGCUGCGAUCUGCAGCGCUCGUCUCCGGCAAGGUAUGGUUUCUAUGGGACUGGCACCCCAGGGUUGGGUUUCUGCUCCUGGGGGCCACCCCAGAACCUUGGGGAGGGAGGGAUGUGGCUUUCUGGAAGAAUGGAGAAGGAAUAUUUCAUGUAAGCAUCUCUCCUUGGUGCCAGGUGGGGGAUGCUAAACCUCUGUUUCCCUCCAGCAGCAUUGCUUGGGAAAGGGGAAAAGUGGUUCCACAAAGGAGAGGUCUCCUGUACCCCAAAUAUUGGACCUCCUAGGAUCCAGGAGGAACACGAUGUCCUGAGCACCCAGCACAGGGAGGAAGGCAG